rnacentral:rRNA from 1 species
UACGUAGGGUGCAAGCGUUGUCCGGAAUUAUUGGGCGUAAAAAGCUCGUAGGCGGUCUGUCGCGUCUGCUGUGAAAACUCGGGGCUUAACCCCGGGCCUGCAGUGGGUACGGGCAGACUAGAGUGCGGUAGGGGAGACUGGAAUUCCUGGUGUAGCGGUGAAAUGCGUAGAUAUCGUAAGGAAGACCAGUGGCGAAGGCGGGUCUCUGGACAGUUCCUGACGCUGAGGCACGAAGGCCAGGGGAGCAAACGGG